UUGCAGUGAUGACCAUCUUAGGACACCUUUGGAAUUCACCAUGAAAACACAUUUUAGUCUGAGCAAC
ensembl:snoRNA SNORD58 Small nucleolar RNA SNORD58